rnacentral:lncRNA from 1 species
UAUGACAAAGCUCCAAGCUGACAAACAUACAGAGCAUUUCUCAGAAUCGACAGGCAAGGGCAGAGGUGACAAGCGUGUGUCUUUCCCUCCAGAUGAGGAAAUUGUGUCAGGAUUCGCGGAGUACAAAGACACACAAAACGCUGAUGGCUGUCUUACUGUGGCAGACAUCAGCUCUGCCUAUGAACAGAGCUGUGUGAAGCAUCAAGUUGAACCCAACCUGAAAGCACUGGAGCAGAUAAAGGUAAGUAGAGAAGUGCACAUGACGGAUGCCCAGACAUCUUAGGAAGCAAUUAAGAAUGGUGCCAAU